UACGUAGGGGGCAAGCGUUGUCCGGAUUUAUUGGGCGUAAAGAGCGUGUAGGCGGCCUGGAAGGUCAGCUGUGAAAACUCGAGGCUCAACCUCGAGACGUCGGUUGAAACCACCUGGCUAGAGUCCGGAAGAGGAGAGUGGAAUUCCCGGUGUAGCGGUGAAAUGCGCAGAUAUCAGGAGGAACACCAAUAGCGAAGGCAGCUCGCUGGGACGGUACUGACACUGAGGCGCGAAAGCGUGGGGAGCGAACAGG
rnacentral:rRNA from 1 species